UAUAUAUUCACAGACACACGCAGAGACGUGCAUUACAGACACACUCAUGGAUACACAUACACACAAAUAUACACUCACAGGAACACACAUACAAAAAUAUACAUUGCCAGACACACUCUCUCAGGUACCCGCACUUUUACACAAUGCCAGACACACCCAUAGAUACUCAUGGAUACACAUACACACAAAUAUACACUCACAUGAAUAUGCAUG